AGCAGCCGCGGUAAUUCCAGCUCCAAUAGCGUAUAUUAAAGUUGUUGCAGUUAAAAAGCUCGUAGUUGAAUUUCGGGAUCAAUGCGUCGGUCGUGCUUUCGGGUACGUACUGGUGUCAUUGGUUUCUCCUUUCUGACGAGCCGUGAUGUCAUUAAUUUGGUGUUACGGGUAGUUAGGACUGUUACUUUGAAAAAAUUAGAGUGUUUAAAGCAGGCAUUAGCUUGAAUACAUUAGCAUGGAAUAAUGAAAUAGGACGUUCGAUCCUAUUUUGUUGGUUUCUAGGAUCAACGUAAUGAUUAAUAGGGAUAGUUGGGGGCAUUAGUAUUCAAUUGUCAGAGGUGAAAUUCUUGGAUUUAUUGAAGACUAACUACUGCGAAAGCAUUUGCCAAGGAUGUUUUCAUUAAUCAAGAACGAAAGUUAGGGGAUCGAAGACGAUCAGAUACCGUCGUAGUCUUAACCAUAAACUAUGCCGACUAGGGAUCGGAUGAUGUUAAUUUUUUAAUGACUCAUUCGGCGCCUU
rnacentral:rRNA from 1 species